rnacentral:rRNA from 1 species
GAUGAACGCUGGCGGCGUGCCUAAUACAUGCAAGUCGAGCGAACAGACGAGGAGCUUGCUCCUCUGACGUUAGCGGCGGACGGGUGAGUAACACGUGGAUAACCUACCUAUCAGACUGGGAUAACUUCGGGGAACCGGAGCUACUACCGGAUAAUAUAUUGAACCGCAUGGUUCACUCGUUAGAGACGGUUUUUCUGUCACUUAUAGAUUGAUCCGCGCCGCAUUCGCUACUUGGUACGGUAACGGCUUAGCCAGGCAACGAUGCGUAGCCGACCUGAGAGGGUGAUCGGCUACACUGGAACUGAGACAGGGUCCAGACUCCGACGGGAGGCAGCAGUAGGGAAUCUUCCGCAAGGGGCGAAAGCGUGACGGAGCAACGCCGCGGGAGUGAUGAAGGUCUUCGGAUCGGAAAACUCUGUUAUUAGUGAAGAACAAAUGUGUAAGUAACUAGGCACGUCUUGACGGUACCUAAUCAGAAAGCCCCGGCUAACUACGUG